ACGACCUUACUUGAACAGGAUCUGUUCUAUAGGCUUGUACCGCUGCAUCCUUUAUCAAUAAGGAGGCAAGCACUUAAGUCUGGUUGAUGCAUUCUAACCUCUAGGCCAGAGCGUGAUUAACGGCCUGGAUUGCUCCUGAUGGGAGCAUCCAAUUGCUGUACAGGAUCGUCUAGAGGUGGUCUGACAGACU
rnacentral:snoRNA from 1 species